AGAUAGCCUGCAGUCUAAGUAUAAGCAACUAUACGGUGAAACUGCGAAUGGCUCAUUAAAUCAGUUAUCGUUUAUUUGAUAGUACCUUACUACAUGGAUAACCGUGGUAAUUCUAGAGCUAAUACAUGCUAAAAACCUCGACUUCGGAAGGGGUGUAUUUAUUAGAUAAAAAACCAAUGCCCUUCGGGGCUCCUUGGUGAAUCAUAAUAACUUAACGAAUCGCAUGGCCUUGCGCCGGCGAUGGUUCAUUCAAAUUUCUGCCCUAUCAACUUUCGAUGGUAGGAUAGUGGCCUACCAUGGUAUCAACGGGUAACGGGGAAUUAGGGUUCGACUCCGGAGAGGGAGCCUGAGAAACGGCUACCACAUCCAAGGAAGGCAGCAGGCGCGCAAAUUACCCAAUCCCGACACGGGGAGGUAGUGACAAUAAAUACUGAUACAGGGCUCUUUUGGGUCUUGUAAUUGGAAUGAGUACAAUUUAAAUCCCUUAACGAGGAACAAUUGGAGGGCAAGUCUGGUGCCAGCAGCCGCGGUAAUUCCAGCUCCAAUAGCGUAUAUUAAAGUUGUUGCAGUUAAAAAGCUCGUAGUUGAACCUUGGGCCUGGCUGGCCGGUCCGCCUCACCGCGUGUACUGGUCCGGCCGGGCCUUUCCUUCUGGGGAACCUCAUGCCCUUCACUGGGCGUGUUGGGGAACCAGGACUUUUACUUUGAAAAAAUUAGAGUGUUCAAAGCAGGCCUUUGCUCGAAUACAUUAGCAUGGAAUAAUAGAAUAGGACGUGUGGUUCUAUUUUGUUGGUUUCUAGGACCGCCGUAAUGAUUAAUAGGGAUAGUCGGGGGCAUCAGUAUUCAAUCGUCAGAGGUGAAAUUCUUGGAUUGAUUGAAGACUAACUACUGCGAAAGCAUUUGCCAAGGAUGUUUUCAUUAAUCAGUGAACGAAAGUUAGGGGAUCGAAGACGAUCAGAUACCGUCGUAGUCUUAACCAUAAACUAUGCCGACUAGGGAUCGGACGGUGUUAGUAUUUUGACCCGUUCGGCACCUUACGAGAAAUCAAAGUUUUUGGGUCUGGGGGGAGUAUGGUCGCAGGUGAUAG
rnacentral:rRNA from 1 species